UGGGGAAUAUUGCACAAUGGAGGGAACUCUGAUGCAGCGACGCCGCGUGAACGAAGAAGGCUUUCGAGUCGUAAAGUUCUUUUAUAUGGGAAGAUAAUGACGGUACCAUAAGAAAAAGUCCCGGCUAACUACGUGCCAGCAGCCGCGGUAAUACGUAGGGGGCUAGCGUUGUCCGGAAUCACUGGGCGUAAAGGGUUCGCAGGCGGAAAUGCAAGUCAGGUGUAAAAGGCAGUAGCUUAACUACUGUAAGCAUUUGAAACUGCAUAUCUUGAGAAGAGUAGAGGUAAGGCGAAUUUUUAGUGUAGCGGUGAAAUGCGUAGAUAUUAAAAAGAAUACCGGUUGCGAAGGCGACUGACUGGGCUCAUUCUGACGCUGAGGAACGAAAGCGUGGGUAGCAAACAGG
rnacentral:rRNA from 1 species